AGGAUGCAGCAUUCAAGGUUCUAUCUUGGAAGCAGAGACUGUGCCCUCACCAGAUGCUGAACCUGCUGAGCACCCUGAUCUUCCACUUCACCUUCAUCAGAACUGUACUUCAAAGAGGACAUCCUCUCCUGAAGAACAGAAGAACCUGAAAUGUUUGGAGCCUAAGACUGCUGUGAUUGCACCUGCCAUCUUAUGCAGAAAUGACCUGAAGACAGACUGAAACAACGUGUUCUACAGCCUGAAAAUAUCUACCUUGACUUACAGUUUUAUUAAUGCUGGUGUGAUCAGACUGGACAAAAAUUAGCAUAUGUUAUUAACUGAUCUAAUUCAAGUGCCAAUUCUUAAUAGAAACACAAAACAAUAAAAGCAAUUCAGAAAAUA
rnacentral:lncRNA from 10 species